rnacentral:lncRNA from 1 species
GAUUUUUGCAGAGGUCAUUCAAUCAAAAAUACAGAUUUAUUAUUCAUUAGAUAUUCUGCAAUCACUCAAAUUUAAAAUCACGCAAUACAGAGAUAAUAAUCCUGGUUACCCUACAUAUAUUUGCAGCUCAAAUUGGAUUACUAGGUGAGACUUUCAUAUAGCUCAAAACUAUUAAUAGAUGGUGGAAAUAAAAUUCUCAAAUACCUUGAUUUUGAUAUGCAGAUUACACAACGUUUCCCCAGAAUAUUCAAAAUAUGUAACAGAACCAAAACAUCAAGUGAAACCCCAAAGCUUCACCAGAUUCAGAGCUCAAAAUCCCACUUCAAAUGAACCCAGAAGCCCAAAUUCAGAAAAUAUUAGUAAAAGAGCAACAACCCAUAUUGACUUUCUUGUUGAAAGAGCCAUAUAAUCUUAAAUUUAAUUAGAGCAUAUGAUUUGGGGUUUAAUAGUGGCCGCCAUUGAUGUUAACAUCACAUACAGAAACUGCACCAAAAUGGGUGAUUGCCGUUUGUAGUCUUGUAUAAAGGAUCAGAAUAGAAAAAGCUUUGAAAUUAGGCCAACAAUGGCCGAUGAUAUCCUCCAGAUCUUCUCCAAUUUCGACGGCAGAUUACGCCAGAGCUUCCGCCGCACUCGAUUUACUCCAACAAGCGAUGUUCCGGUUGGAAGAUGAGUUUAAAUCAUUAAUGGAACGCGACGGGGAAUCGUUAGAUAUGGAUUUAGAACAACCUGGUUUGGAUUUAGAUAUGGUUUAUCUAUAUGGUUUUUACAGCUAACCUCUGUUUCUUGAGGGGAGACAGAACUUUUGGAGACUGAGUUGUGCAUAAGGAAGGGAAAGGAAGAGACUGAGUUGGGCAAAGGGGGAAUCGAU